GCCGCUGAGGCCUCUACCCUUCUCUCAGCCCCGCGCACUGGGCUUGCGCAAUAGACCCCGCCCCGCUCCCUGCUAUUGACACCCAGCGGGAGGGUAGGGAAGGACGCUGAACGCGAGCGGAGCGGGGCGGGAGAGGGCUCAGUUGCUGUUUGCUCUUCUGUCCCCUUCCUCCCCAAGUGUAAUGGAUAUCCACAUGGUGCUUCUUUAACUGUGAUGUGUGGUACCCAGGAAUGUAAGUCUGUAUGUCAGGAGGUAUAUAUGAGGAUGCUGAAUAAACUUGGCCCAUCUUCCCGGAGUGACAGUUUUACCUGAUGGCAGAUCAGAGGUGCCAGAGAAGACCGAGAGACUUGGGAAACGCUUCACCUGACUGCUCUGAGGUCCUAAAGUCACUGCUUUCUUUAUACACUCAACUGCCAUCUUAAAGAGAGGAGCAAUGAAGAGAAACCUGAGAGAUUGGACGAUUUACCUUAAAGCUGUUUUAGUUAUUGUAUCUGGUGAAAAUUCUUGGAUUAAAUUGAAUCUAUUUAUUUUCUGACUCUACCCUUUGUGAGUUGGGUAGAUCACCCCUAACAUCCCUGAAUGUGGUGUGAAUAAAUU